UACAGAGGGGGCCAGCGUUAUCCGGAUUUAUUGGGUUUAAAGGGUGCGUAGGUGGACUAAUAAGUCAGUGGUGAAAGCCCGCAGCUUAACUGCGGAACUGCCAUUGAUACUGUUAGUCUUGAGUACAGUUGAGGUGGGCGGAAUGUGUCAUGUAGCGGUGAAAUGCUUAGAUAUGACAUAGAACACCAAUUGCGAAGGCAGCUCACUAAGCAGAUAUUGACGCUGAGGCACGAAAGCGUGGGGAUCAAACAGG
rnacentral:rRNA from 1 species